UACGUAGGGUCCGAGCGUUGUCCGGAAUUACUGGGCGUAAAGAGCUCGUAGGUGGUUUGUCGCGUUGUUCGUGAAAACUCACAGCUCAACUGUGGGCGUGCGGGCGAUACGGGCAGACUAGAGUACUGCAGGGGAGACUGGAAUUCCUGGUGUAGCGGUGGAAUGCGCAGAUAUCAGGAGGAACACCGGUGGCGAAGGCGGGUCCCUGGACAACUUCUGACGCUGAGGCACGAAAGCUAGGGGAGCAAACAGG
rnacentral:rRNA from 1 species